rnacentral:rRNA from 1 species
AUUGAACGCUGGCGGCAUGCCUAACACAUGCAAGUCGCACGCGAAAGGGGGCAACCCCGAGUAGAGUGGCGGACGGGUGCGUAAUACGUAGGAAUCUACCUGAUAGUGGGGGACAACCCGGCGAAAGCCGGGCUAAUACCGCAUACGACCUAUGGGUGAAAGCCGGGGACCGCAAGGCCUGGCGCUAUUAGAUGAGCCUGCGUCGGAUUAGCUAGUUGGUGAGGUAAAGGCUACCAAGGCGACGAUCCGUAGCUGGUCUGAGAGGACGACCAGCCACACUGGGACUGAGACACGGCCCAGACUCCUACGGGAGGCAGCAGUGGGGAAUAUUGGACAAUGGGACGAAAGCCUGAUCCAGCCAUGCCGCGUGAGUGAUGAAGG